GUCUCAUUGGUCUAGUUGGUUAUGACGUCGGUCUCAUAGCUCCUAUCUAUGACUCCUCUUAAAUGAGUAGACAUCCGAAGGUCGCCAGUUCGAAUCUGGCAUGGGACA